AAACCUCAGGCCUCUGCUCUUAGCACAAAGAGAUGGGUCCCUCUCAAUGUGGCUCUGCAGAGAAUGUGCAUUAUUGCCUGAAUCACAUGUGAUUUCAUAUAUCCACACCCAGGGGUACAUCAUGAUCCAAGUUACCACCUGGUGGCAGGAAAGAAGCCAAACAUCAAAUGUGUCACUGACUGCUUACAGGCCAAUAUUGCAACCAUCUCUCUACUUCCAAAGAAGAAAGAUUGAAAUCCAAUAUCACAAAGCGUUAAAACAAAAAAGAACGACAGCAAAAACAACACAAAACUUUGUGACCUGCAACUACAGUAGGGUGAUGGUUUACUAUAUCUUCCAUGCAGUUUCAUCAUUCAACAGAGGGCUAUUCUAACUCUAAGCCCAGAGAUGUUCCAACAUUCUGAAAAUUAUGCACCCACUUCAAGAAUAUGGGUCCGCAUUCAUAAGAAACACUCUCUGAAAGAACUAAAGUUUUUACAUUUCUAGAUGAUUGAUCAUAUUUUUUAGUUAACUUCCUAAAGUGGUGAUUAGUUCAAAGGAUGGGCUCUUACUACACCUUUGCAGUGGCUUUCCAAGUUCAUUUUUGAUUAUUUGAUUUAUAAUAGAAUUCAUCUCCCUUUCUGUUUUAUGCUGCCUUCCUCUUUAACCAGGUACUCCUCUGUUUAGCUAUUUUUGUACUGGGCUGUAGAGUAUCAGUAAUUCCAUAAGCCAGAAAGUAAAAGGUGGCUUAAAAAACUUCUACACCAGUCUCCUUCAUUUUGUAAAUGAGGAAGUUGUGGGGCAAAAUGACUGAAAACUUAAUCAGAGUUAUCCAUCUAGAGACCAGCAGAGCCAGAAACUGAGCUUGGAGUGCUGUGGUCUUGGGUAAGUGUUUUCUCCACUAUUCUACAACUAUCAACUGAAAAUACUCUGUCCCUCAAAAUAAAGAAGAGAGGUAGAUUGAAGAUGUAGGGACUAUUUUGUUUCUUGUAUAUUUAUUUAUUUAUUUGA
rnacentral:lncRNA from 1 species